UACGGGGGGGGCAAGCGUUGUUCGGAAUUACUGGGCGUAAAGGGCUCGUAGGCGGCCAACUAAGUCAGACGUGAAAUCCCUCGGCUUAACCGGGGAACUGCAUCUGAUACUGGAUGGCUUGAGUUCGGGAGAGGGAUGUGGAAUUCCAGGUGUAGCGGUGAAAUGCGUAGAUAUCUGGAGGAACACCGAUGGCGAAGGCAGGUCUCUGGGCCGCAACUGACGCUGAAGAGCGAAAGCAUGGGGAGCGAACAGG
rnacentral:rRNA from 1 species